CCUAGAGAACUUGGAGGCCAGUGAGGACAAAAAUAAAAAGUUAUAAGACUUUUAAGACUGUGGAUUUUUGGGUUAUCUUUGGCGCCCCCUAGAACGUAAACCGUGGGGUGCAGCAUCAUGAUUUGUACAACUUUUAAUGGCCAUGGGGUGUAGAUUGGCCUCAGCAAAUGUGGUGCCUUUGGAACGAAAGCCUUCAGAGGAGUUAGCGAAAUUCCAAUGUGUGCGGAUCGGCAAAAAAUGCGAAAUAGCCCUUUCACCGUACAUUUGACAGAUACGCCCGCACUGACUUUUUUGUAGAUCUUAUUGAGAUACAUGUGUGUGUCAAUUUUUGUGUCAAUAUGACAAAGCGUAAAGGCGUGACAGUCAAUAGUGUGAAUUUUCGCCUUAGGAGACAAGAAAAAAUGGACUUUUUUCUCCUGCCAUGGGGGGGCGCUCUUUUGGGGAGUAAAAAUUCCUUCACAAAUGUGUUGAUGGCUGGACAUUGCAUCAUCCUAGAAAACUUGGAGGCCAGUGAGGACAAAAAUAAAAAGUUAUACGACUUUUAAGAAUGUGGAUUUCUGGGUUAUCUUUGGCGCCCCCUAGAACGUAAACCGUGGGAUGCAGCGUCAUGAUUUGUACAACUUUUAAUGGCCAUGGGGUGUAGAUUGGCCUGAGCAAAUUUGGUGCCGGUGGAACGAAAGCCUUCGGAGGAGUUAGCGAAAUUCCAAUGUGUGCGGAUCGGCAAAAAAUGCGAAAUAGCCCUUUAACCGUACAUUUGACAGAUACGGCCGCACUGACUUUUUUGUAGAUCUUAUUGAGAUACACGUGUGUGUCAAAUUUUGUGUCAUUUUGACAAAGCGUACAGGCGUGACACUCAAUCAUGUGAAUUUUUCACCUUAGGGGGCGCUAUGGAGCCAUUUUGCAUUUGAUUUUUUGGGCGACUUCAGAAUAUCGAAUUUUUCACCAGGCCCGGUCGUCCUGCCAAAUUUCAUGACUUUUCACCAGUGGGAAGUGGGCCAUUUUCCAGUUCAAAGGGGCAGAAAAAUAAUAAGAAGAAGAAGAAGAAGAAAGAAGAAUCCAUCAGGAAUAAUAGGGCUCUCGCAGCUGCUUAGCAGCUACGCUCGGGCCCUAAAGAAAGAAAGAAACAAAGAAAAACCACUUGGGGAAUAAUAGGGCUCUACGCCCGGCUGCUCUGCAGCUGGCUCGGGCCCUAAUAAUAAUAAGAAGAAGAAGAAGAAGACUAGGGCCCCGUUGGGGCACUGGCGGGCCCGAGCCGUGUCGCGCCGCCCCCCCCAACGCGCUGCCUCCCCGUCCCAUUCGCAUCCUCUGGCCAUCGACCUCUCUGGUAACGCCCAUCACUGCAAAGACCCUUUUCCUUCAUCUGCGUUUGCUGUUCUUCCUGCCAGUGUGUGUUGCUUUCACUUACACUUGCCACAGCCAGCCUCGUGAGUGCCUAGCCUAUUGGAUAUCACUGUCACCUACACAGGACAGUCAUUACCUUUCUAUUAAUACUUUGUUUUUUAAUUUCACAUUAAUUUCCAUAUUGUAUAAACGACUGGAAAAAACUUGAGCCCCUGCCCCUGUAUAAUCAUGUACACGUCUCUGUUCUAGCUCCAAGGUGAAUCUUCACUGCUCAUGUUCUCCUCAGAAGCAGUCACCUCACUCCCCUCAGGGUACUGUACACAUGCACCAACUGCCUGCUUCAGGUUUGGAUGGAGCUUCAUUGUUGUCCGUGGGGUGCAGCGUCAUGAUUUGUACAACUUUGAAUGGCCAUGGGGUGUAGAUUGGCCUGAGCAAAUUUGGUGUCAGUGGGACAAAAGGCCAGUCAGGACAAAAAUAAAAAGUUAUAAGACUUCAAAAAAUGGGGAUAUUUGGGUCAUCUUUGGCGCCCCCUAGAACGUAAACCGUGGGGUGCAGCGUCAUGAUUUGAAUAACUUUUAAUGGCCAUGGGGUGUAGAUUGGCCUGAGCAAAUGUGGUGCCGGUGGAACGAAAGCCUUCGGAGGAGUUAGCGAAAUUCCAAUGUGUGCGGAUCUGCAAAAAAUGCGAAAUAACCCUUUAACCGUACAUUUUACAGAUACGUGGCCAUUGACCUUUUCGAAGACCUUAUUGAAAUACACGUGUAUGUCAAAUUUUGUGUCAUUUUGACAAAGCGUACAGGCGUGACACUCUACAAUGUGUAUUUUCACCUUAGGGGACAAGAAAAAAUGGACUUUUUUCUCCUGCCAUGGGGGGGGGGCGCUCUUUUGGAGAGUAAAAAUUCCUUCACAAAUGUGUUGAUGGCUGGACAUUGCAUCAUCCUAGAAAACUUGGAGGCCAGUGAGGGCAAAAAUAAAAAGUUAUAAGACUUUGAAAUAUGUGGAUUUUAGGGUUAUCUUUGGCGCCCCCUAGAACCUAAACCGUGGGGUGCAGCGUCAUGAUUUGAAUAACUUUUAAUGGCCAUGGGGUGUAGAUUGGCCUGAGCAAAUGUGGUGCUGGUGGAACGAAAGCCUUCGGAGGAGUUAGCGAAAUUCCAAUGUGUGCAGAUCGGCAAAAAAUGCGAAAUAACCCUUUAACCGUACAUUUGACAAAUACGCCCGCACUGACUUUUUUGUAGAUCUUAUUGAGAUACAUGUGUGUGUCAAUUUUUCUGUCAUUUUGACAAAGCGUACAGGCGUCAGGUGAAUUUUUCACCUUAGGGGGCGCUAUGGAGCCAUUUUGCAUUGUAUUGUUUGGGCGACUUCAGAAUAUCAAAUUUUUCACCAGGCCCGGUCGUCCUGCCAAAUUUCAUGAGUUUUCGCCAGUGGGAAGUGGGCCAUUUUCCAGUUCAAAGGGGAGGAAAAAGAAACUAGGGCCCCGUUGGGGCACUGGCGGGCCCGAGCUGUGUCACGCCGCCCCCAACACGACCGCCUCUCCCUCCCGAUCGCGUCACACUCAAGGUUCAACGAUGGUGUGCGCACUUGUCUGUGGUCAUUUACCAUUAUAAUGAAUGGGAGGCGCAGUUUCUACCAAAACGCUUGCUGCAGACAAACUACAUGUCCUAUUUGAAAAAAGUCUGGACCAUGAGUGAGGGCACAAACACAGCUAGGAUAUAUCCAAAUGGCAAGUUCCUCCUCCUUUCGUUUUUUUCCGAGAGAGCGAUGUGUUUGAGCCAUUGAGCGAUGGGCAGGAAAAACUUGACUUUUUCUCCUGCCAUGGGGGGGCACUCUUUUAGGGAGAAAAAAUUCCUUCACAAAUGUGUUGAUGGCUAGACAUUGCAUCAUCCUAGAAAACUUUGAAGCCAGUGAGGACAAAAAUGAAAAGUUAUAAGACUUUUAAGAAUGUGGAUUUUUGGGUUAUCUUUGGCGACCCCUAGAACGUAAACCGUGGGGUGCAGCAUCAUGAUUUGUACAACUUUUAAUGGCCAUGGGGUGUAGAUUGGCCUGAGCAAAUUUGGUGCCGGUGGAACAAAAGCUUUAGGAGGAGUUAGCCACAUUCCAAUGUAUGCGAAUCAACCAAAAAUGCGAAAUAGCCCUUUAACCGUACAUUUUGCAGACACGUGCGCAUUGACUUUUUCGUAGAUCUUAUUGAGAUACACGUGAUUAACAAAUUUUGUUUCAAUAUGACAAAGCGUACAGGCGUGACACUCAACAAUGUGUAUUUUCACCUUAUAGGACAAGAAAAAAUGGCCUUUUUUCUCCUGCCAUGGGGGGGCACUCUUUUGGGGAGUAAAAAUUCCUUCACAAAUGUGUUGAUGGCUGGACAUUGCAUCAUCCUUGAAAACUUGGAGGCCAGUGAGGACAGAAAUAAAAAGUUAUAAGACUUGUAAGAAUGUGGAUUUUUGGGUUAUCUUUGGCGCCCCCUACAACGUAAACCGUGGGGUGCAGCGUCAUGAUUUGUACAACUUUGAAUGGCCAUGGGGGUUAGAUUGGCCUGAGCAAAUUUGGUGCCGGUGGAACGAAAGCCUUCAAAGGAGUUAGCGAAAUUCCAAUGUGUGCGGAUCGGCAAAAAAUGUGAAAUAGCCCUUUAAACGUACAUUUGACAGAUACGCCCGCACUGACUUUUUUGUAGAUCUUAUUGAGAUACACGUGUGUGUCAAAUUUUGUGUCAUUUUGACAAAGCGUACAGGCGUGACACUCAAUCAUGUGAAUUUUUCACCUUAGGGGGCGCUAUGGAGCCAUUUUGCAUUUGAUUGUUUGGGUGACUUCAGAAUAUCGAAUUUUUCACCAGGCCCGGUCGUCCUGCCAAAUUUCAUGAGUUUUCACCAGUGGGAAGUGGGCCAUUUUCCAGUUCAAAGGGGCAGAAAAAUAAUAAUAAUAAUAAUAAGAAGAAGAAACUAGGGCCCCGUUGGGGCACUGGCGGGCCCGAGCCAUGUGCCCCCCCCCCCCCCACCCCACCCCCCAACGCGCUGCCUCCCCGUCCCAUUCGCGUCCUCUGGCCAUCGCCCUCUCUGGUAACGCCCAUCACUGCAAAGACCCUUUUCCUUCAUCGGUGUUUGCUGUUCUUCCUGCCAGUGCGUGUUGCUUUCACUUACACUUGCCACAGCCAGCCUCGUGAGUGCCUAGCCUAUUGGAUAUCACUGUCACCUACACAGGACAGUCAUUACCUUUCUAUUAAUACUUUGUUUUUAAUUUCACAUUAAUUUCCAUAUUGUAUAAAUGACUGGAAAAAACUUGAGCCCCUGCCCCUGUAUUAUCAUGUGCACGUCCCUGUUGUAGCUCCAAGGUGAAUCUUCACUGCUCAUGUUCUCCUCAGAAGCAGUGACCUCACUCCCCUCAGGUUACUGUACACAUGCACCAACUGCCUGCUUCAGGUUUGGAUGGAGCUUCAUGGUUGUCUUUUGGAGAAAUGACCAGUCAAGUUGUGUUCGAAAUCUGAUUUUUUUCAGGGGCAAAAGGAGCCUCUGCAUUCUUGUCAAAUAUGUUAAUAACAAGUUUUUGCAGGUGCUAAAAAAAAAGACUCUGAGUGUGUGUGUGUGUGUGUGUGUGUGUGUGUGUGUGUGUGUGUGUGUGUGUGUGUGUGUGUGUGAUGCAGUACUCUGAGAAGAAUAAUAAGCAUAUUUCUGAGGUGAAUUUUGAAGAUUCAUCUGAGAGUUAGGAGGGCUGAUCAUUCCCUUACCCUUUAGAUGUCUGUCUAUGUCUGUUUUUGUGUGAUAAUGAAAGAAUCCCAACUCAAAAAGGCUCUGUUGAUGGUUUUUUUUUUGUUGUUCAUUCAUAUUCAAACCACUAUUUUAUAUCACUGCUAAUACGCCAAGACCAUUUUAUGGUAUUUAGCCUUAUUAUUUCUAUACAUUUUGCAAGGAAAGAAACCAAGGCCUUCACUAAAAUUUCCAUAAACUUUAGGAAAGGACCUCUGGUUGUUUAAGGGGGUCAUUACUGCAAAAACAUAUUCUUCCUAAAUUUUGAAGGUCAAAGCUUAGAUCCAUUAGGUUUAAAUAGAAAAAGCAUUUAAAUAUGUUAGGAUUAUAGCAUAUGACAAAUGUGUGCCUCUCAGUGGCCAUAACUACUUUGUCUGCUGGCUCUGCAGUCGAUUGACGUUCCCCAGCGUUCAAGUCACAUGACAUAUUUAACCGGAUGUAGCUGCAAGACGGAGCCUCGUUGAUUCUCCGUUUCAACCUAUCUUAAAAGUGAGGACCUCAAACUAUAUACCAGUUUUUAAAUUGUGUUGAUAGGCCAAAUAAAACCAGAGUUAUGAUAAAUUAUGUCUGCGAUACUUUUUUUCUGCUUAUUUUGAUCACAUUCGGCGCUCGAUCGCGCUGUAUGAGACAGGAAAACAUAGCAUGCAGACAUUAGCGACAGCUCUUACAGGCGGAAAAGACUUGCCAAAAGAAAAGAAAAAAACACACCACAACAUCUCUCCUAUUGGUGGAAAACUUCACCACAACAACCAAUCCAAAAUUAUAUGGUGACUGAUUGACACGGGACGGGCGCUCGCAUUCUUCCUGCAACUUGAGAAGGGAGGGAGGGACUCUCAGCAGGGAUGCAGUCUGGGACACGUAGUUGCAAACCUAGCGACUUUGUUGUUAGAUUCAAUGACUUUUCAGACCCCCUAACGACUUUUUUUUAGAAAGAAAGGGACUUUUAUCGACUUCUUCUGGAGUUUAGAGACUCUGACAUGAAGCAGGCUUUCCUUACUGAGGAGUUAGCAACGCUGCUAAGGGUGCAGAGCCACACAUGCGCUCCGAGCUCUGCAUGGGAGACUGAAGCUGACAGAGCUGCAGCAGUUAGCAGGUUUCACCCUCAGAGACCACCAGGGGUUCAUGUUGAGGCAUUUUCAGUUUUUUUUUUUUUUUUUUGCCACAGACACUGUCAGCACAAUCUGCAGUUACACUAACAAAAAUGCUGCAAAAAACAAAGAAUUAUGGAAAAAUUACACAUGGACUAACAUAGAGGAGGAUCUACACAAGUUUUUUACAUCAUGUUUUACAUCAUACAUCAUUUACAUCAUGUUUUUUUGUAGUGGCAUAAAUAAAAAGUGACAUUUGUGAGACUAUACAGUGUUUUGUAAAUAAUUUUACAAAGAACGCCUGGGCCAUUGCCUGCAUUUUGAUGUAAAUAGAGGUAAAUUACUAUGUUCUUUGUUAAAAAUUUGCAUAUGUUUUGAAGUUUACAAUUUUUAUUUGAAGUUUAAGUUUUAAAAACAGUUCAUCACACAUAUUUGUGGUUUUCACAGUAAAAACGUUACUUUUUUCCACUCGGAUUUUAUGUUUUGUGUGUGAAUUUGGGUCCAAUGUGUAAAUAUAGUAUGUCAAAAUGAUAAAAUAACUGUAAAUUGACACAGGUGAGGUUGUGCUGAAAAAAAUGAUACCAGGCAAGGCAAGGUAAAAUUUUGUAAGAGGAAAUAUAAAGGUAAAAUCUAAAGUAGUCAAAAACGGCCAAUAGUGACUCACAGACUCCACAGACAAGUCCCUUUGGCGCCACUCAGUGGGCAAAACUACUUUGUCUACUGUAAUGUAUAUUUGGGUCAUCUUUGGCGCCCCCUAAAACAUAAACCGUGGGGUGCAGCGUCACGAUUUUUACAACUUUGAAUGGCCAUGGAGUGUAGAUUAGCCUGAGCAACUUUGGUGACAGUGGAACUUAAGCCUUCAGAGGAGUUAGCGAAAUUCCAAUGUGUGCAAAUCGCCAAAAACUGCGAAAUUGCCCUUUAACCAUACGUUUUACAGAUACGUGCCCAUUGACUUUUUCGUAGAUCUUAUUGAAAUACACAUGUAUGUAAAAUUUUGUGUCAAUACGACAAAACAUACAGGCGUAGCACUCAACAAUGUGUAUUUUCACCUUAGUGGACAAGAAAAAAUGGACUUUUUUCUCCUGCCAUGGGGGGGCGCUCUUUUGGGGAGUAAAAAUUCCUUCACAAAUGUGUUGAUGGCUGGACAUUGCAUCAUCCUAGAAAACUUGGAGGCCAGUGAGGACAAAAAUAAAAAGUUAUAAGACUUUGAAAUAUGUGGAUUUUAGGGUUAUCUUUGGCGCCCCCUAGAACCUAAACCGUGGGGUGCAGCGUCAUGAUUUGAAUAACUUUUAAUGGCCAUGGGGUGUAGAUUGGCCUGAGCAAAUGUGGUGCCGGUGGAACGCCAGCCUUAGGAGGAGUUAGCGAAAUUCCAAUGUGUGCGGAUCAGCAAAAAAUGCGGAAUAACCCUUUAACCGUACAUUUGACAGAUACGCGCGCAUUGACUUGUUCGUAGAUCUUAUUGAGAUACAUGUGUGUGUCAAAUUUUGUGUCAAUAUGACAAAGCGUACAGGCGUGACACUCAACAAUGUGUAUUUUCACCUUAGGGGACAAGAAAAAAUGGACUUUUUUCUCCGGCCAUGGGGGGGCGCUCUUUUGGGGAGUAAAAAUUCCUUCACAAAUGUGUUGAUGGCUGGACAUUGCAUCAUCCUAGAAAACUUGGAGGCCAGUGAGGGCAAAAAUAAAAAGUUAUAAGACUUUUAAAUAUGCGGAUUUUAGGGUUAUCUUUGGCGCCCCCUAGAACCUAAACCGUGGGGUGCAGCGUCAUGAUUUGAAUAACUUUUAAUGGCCAUGGGGUGUAGAUUGGCCUGAGCAAAUGUGGUGCCGGUGGAAAGAAAGCCUUCGGAGGAGUUAGCGAAAUUCCAAUGUGUGCGGAUCGGCAAAAAAUGCGGAAUAACCCUUUAACCGUACAUUUGACAGAUACGCCCGCACUGACUUUUUUGUAGAUCUUAUUGAGAUACAUAUGUGUGUCAAUUUUUGUGUCAUUUGGACAAAGCGUAAAGGCGUGACAGUCAAUAGUGUGAAUUUUCACCUUAGGGGGCGCUAUGGAGCCAUUUUGCAUUUUCUUGUUUGGGCGACUUCGGAAUAUCAAAUUUUUCACCAGGCCCGGUCAUCCUGCCAAAUUUCAUGAGUUUUCGCCAGUGGGAAGUGGGCCAUUUUCCAGUUCAAAGGGGAGGAAAAAGAAGAAAGAAAGAAAGAACUAGGGCCCCGUUGGGGCACUGGCGGGCCCGAGCUGUGUCGCGCGCCCCCCCCCCCCCCCCCCCAACGCGCUGCCUCCUCGUCCCAUUCGCGUCCUCUGGCCAUCGUCCUCUCUGGUAACGCCCAUCACUGCAAAGACCCUUUUCCUUCAUCCGCGUUUGCUGUUCUUCCUGCCAGUGCGUGUGGCUUUCACUUGCACUUGCCACAGCCAGCCUCGUGAGUGCCUAGCCUAUUGGAUAUCACUGUCACCUACACAGGACAGUCAUUACCUUUCUAUUAAUACUUUGUUUUUUAAUUUCACAUUAAUUUCCAUAUUGUCUAAACGACUGGAAAAAACUUGAGCCCCUGCCCCUGUAUAAUCAUGUGCACGUCCCUGUUCUAGCUCCAAGGUGAAUCUUGACUGCUCAUGUUCUCCUCAGAAGCAGUCACCUCACUCCACUCAGGUUACUGUACACAUGCACCAACUGCCUGCUUCAGGUUUGGAUGGAGCUUCAUGGUUGUCUUUUGGAGAAAUGAGCAGUCAAGUUGUGUUUGAAAUUUCAUUUUUUUCAGGGGCAAAAGGAGCCUCUGCAUUCUUGUCAAAUAUGUAAAUAGCAUGUUUUUGCAGGUGCUAAAAACCAGACUCUGAGUGUGUGUGUGUGUGUGUGCGUUCAAGUCACAUGACAUAUUUAACCGGAUGUAGCUGCAAGACGGAGUCUCGUUGACUCUCCGUUUCAACUUAUCUCAAAAGUGAGGACCUCAACCUAUAUACCAGUUUUUAAAUUGUGUUGAUAGGCCAAAUAAAACCAGAGUUAUGAUAAAUUAUGUCCGCGAUACUUUUUUUCUGCUUAUUUUGAUCACGUUCGGCGCUCGAUCGCGCUGUAUGAGACAGGAAAACAUAGCAUGCAGACAUUAGCGACAGGUCUUACAGGCGGAAAAGGCUUGCCAAAAGAAAAAAAAAACACACCACAACAUCUCUCCUAUUGGUGGAAAACUUCACCACAACAACCAAUCCAAAAUUAUAUGGUGACUGAUUGACAAGGGGCGGGCGCUUACGUUCUUCCUGCAACAUGAGAAGGGAGGGAGGGACUCUCAGCAGGGAUGCAGUCUGGGACACGUAGUUGCAA
rnacentral:lncRNA from 1 species